GGAGGAUGCGAGCGUUAUCCGGAUUUAUUGGGUUUAAAGGGUGCGCAGGCGGAGGUGCAAGUCAGCGGUCAAAUUGCGGGGCUCAACCCCGUACUGCCGUUGAAACUGCAUCCCUUGAGUGCGCGAGAAGUAUGCGGAAUGCGUGGUGUAGCGGUGAAAUGCAUAGAUAUCACGCAGAACUCCGAUUGCGAAGGCAGCAUACCGGCGCGCAACUGACGCUCAUGCACGAAAGCGUGGGUAUCGAAC
rnacentral:rRNA from 1 species